rnacentral:lncRNA from 1 species
ACUUGCUGGCCUGAAAAAGCUGUAUGCCCCAAAUGAUAGUAUCUUUACUUCACACUGAGUGACUUAAUAAAAGACAUGUAGAUUUCUAGGAGGAUAGACAUAUGUUUAUGAGUUAGUAAAAUGUACCUCAUGUUUGGUUGUAGAAUAAGGAAAAAAGAAGGGAUCAUCAGUAGCUGGUUUCACUGUUUUGAGAAAGAAAUGUUCAUUCCACUAGGUCUGUUCCUUCAUCUUAAGUGACAAAUGACCUGGAAAUACUACUUUCUGAAAUAAUAAUAUGGAAUAAUAAUAAUAUGAAAUAAUAAGAAUAAUAAUAUGAAAGAUGAGUUGUAACUACAACCCAUCUUCUCAGUGGGACAUGUUCUACUCCCUUGCCCCAUGGAGAGAGCAAAAGCUGGAAAAAACCCAAAGAAGAAAAGCCCUCACAACAGCAGUUCUGGGGCAGGACAGGUCUGAGACAUUCCAGGUGGAUGAGUGAACAAUAUUCAACAUAGAAAAUUCCCAAAGACAGGAAAUAACAUCCUCUAGGUCUAGUUGUAGAAUUAUUUUCUAAGGAGUGAUCAAGUGAGGCAGAAGAGGGAGGGGAGAGACCCAUCAGUGUGAGUUCCUUUGAGUGCUUACUGUGUGCUGGACACUUGCUUGGUGCUUUUGAGAUAUUAACCAUUGAAUGAAGUAUGGUUAUCCUCCCCUCUUUUUUGAUAAUCAAGUAGGCCCCAGGCUCUGAUCUGCCCUGUGGUUAAAGGCUGGUGAGUGGCAAAGCCAGGCAGAAGCUCAGGGCUUCUGGCCGAGGGAGCCCAUGCUCCUUUUUAUGACUAGCAUCACCGGUGAAUAUAAGGAACAUAGGCAGUGUUGGGGGCCUGGGGAACAUUCUGCUUUUUGUUUUUGAGAAUAUAGUGGCUCAAAGUCUUGGUUUUCAGAUGACGACAGCCACAGGCAAGUCACCAGUCUGCUCAUUGUCUAACAAGCAAAUUCUUAUGCAUAUUAAGGGUUCUUCUGUUUCUUGCAUUGACACCCUUUAUACCUAACAGUGGAAAAUUAGGCUAUCUAGGUGGCUGUUGAAUUCAUCCCUUGCUCACUCCCUUUGGUAACCCAUUUCUCCACAUUUCUCCUAGUCAUGCUUCGGAUGUCUUGGAGACCUCUGGGUGGAAGUCAAUGGUGGUGUCACAUCCCCACUUGGUGGCUGAGGCAUACCGCUCUCUGGCUUCAGCACAGUGCCCUUUUCUGGGACCCCCACGCAAACGCCUGAAGCAAUCCUAAGAUCCUGCUUGUUGUAAGACUCCGUUUAAUUUCCAGAAGCAGCAGCCACUGUUGCUGCCACUGACCACCAGGUAGACAGCGCAAUCUGUGGAGCUUUUACUCUGUUGUGAGGGGAAGAGACUGCAUUGUGGCCCCAGACUUUUAAAACAGCACUAAAUAACUUGGGGGAAACGGGGGGAGGGAAAAUGAAAUGAAAACCCUGUUGCUGCGUCACUGUGUUCCCUUUGGCCUGGCUGAGUUUGAUACUGUGGGGAUUCAGUUUAGGCGCUGGCCCGAGGAUAUCCCAGCGGUGGUACUUCGGAGACACCUGUCUGCAUCUGACUGAGCAGAACAAAUCGUCAGGUGCCUGGAGCAAAAAGGAAAAAAAAAAAAGAAAGGACAUUGAGUUUUAACAGAAGGGAAAAGGAAAGAAGAAAAGAUUUUUGCAGAAUUUCUCAAAAAUCAGUUUGUGGAUUCCAGUAGUAUUUAUAUUGAGAGAAACAAAUUUUAGUCCUUCUAACUGUGCUAAAACUUGGAUAUUUGUGAAAACUCCUUACCACCAUACAAGCAUCAGAAGAGCUCUCUUGUUGUUAGCACUUAUUGUUUGCAAGAACAGAAUACAUCCUUUUAUCCUUUUAUGAAAAAUGACAAGUGAAGGCAAAAGGGGAAGGUUAUUUGAUCUGGAAGAUGAGUGUUCUGAUGUGGUGGCUUUUGCAAAAAUCUUUAUUGGUGUUGAAAACUGGAAAAAAUAACUCAUCCAGAAUUCAUAUUGUCUUGACAAGAACUAUGGUUCUCUGUUUUUAGAUAUUGUGGAAAAUGUUUUUGGGCAUUUUUCUCUGAUUUUAUUUCUUCUCCCCCACCCCUUUUUCUAAAAAACAAACAAAAAAAAAAACACACAAAAC